rnacentral:rRNA from 1 species
CUUGAACGCUGGCGGCAGGCCUACCCCCUUCAAGUCGAACGAGUGGCGGACGGGUGAGUAAUGUCUGGGCAACUGCCCGCUGGAGGGGGAUAACUACUGGAAACGGUAGCUAAUACCGCAUACCAUCGGAUGUGCCCAGAUGGGAUUAGCUAGUAGGUGGGGUAAUGGGUCCCCUCGGCGACGAUCCCUAGCUGGUCUGAGAGUAUGACCAGCCACACUGGAACUGAGACACUGUCCAGAAUCCUACGGGAGGCAGCAGUGGGGAAUAUUGCACAAUGGGCGCAAGCCUGAGGCAGCCAUGCCGCGUGUAUGAAGAAGGCCUGCGGGUUGUAAAGUACUUUCAGCAAGGAGGCGGUACUCGCAGAAGAAGCACCGGCUAACUCAGGGAAAGCAGCCGCGGUAAUUC